rnacentral:lncRNA from 1 species
GCAGGCGAGCGCGGUCAGCGGGUGCGGCAAGAGCUCUCCGCGGGGAAAGCAGCGAGGAGGGAACAUAAAGUCACAGCGCGAAGCCAGGUGCCCGUUUCCCCCCUCCUGUGCUCCAGAGAGCAGGAGUCCCCUGAAGGACAACGGUUCCCCCCUGCAGCCGUCAGACGCGCGGCUCGCCACCGCAAAUCACAACAAACCGCCUUCCCUCAGCAACGCGCUGGCAUGCUUGGCUUCUUUCCUCAUUUAAUUAAUUAGGAAACGCAAUACUCUGGGGGGGAUGCUUGCUAGGACACGGGGAUUAAUUGAGAAGGUUCCAGCGGGUGGCGGGGACAAAGCGCCGCCGGCAGCGCUGCGUUGCUCCGCGCGCGGCCCUGACGCCUCUUUGGAGGCCUUUUCUGGUUGCUCCUCCGAGCGCUCCUGCGGGCCGCACGCGUGUCAGCCGCCCGGCUUGACGCAUGGCCAGACCGGCACCAAGAGUUGCAGUCCUUUCGUGGGGGGCAGGGAGAAGCCUGUGGCAGGUCCGUAGGCGUAAACCAGUCCCCCAGCCUGAGCUUCAGCUGUGGGAGCGCCUUUGCCUUCAAGUACUAACUUUAUGGUACUAACUUUAGUCACAAAUACCAAAUACAGAACUGCUCAUACUACUCUCUUCAAAAUCUUGGUUCCCUGAAGAUCUCUCGUCCAAACACGGACCCGAGCCAAACUACAAGGCUCAGCUCCUUACAGAUGUGAUUAACUUCACUAGCGUGAGGAGCUUCAGCUGUGGGAGCGCCUUUGCCUUCAAGUACUAACUUUAUGGUACUAACUUUAGUCACAAAUACCAAAUACAGAACUGCUCAUACUACUCUCUUCAAAAUCUUGGUUCCCUGAAGAUCUCUCGUCCAAACACGGACCCGAGCCAAACUACAAGGCUCAGCUCCUUACAGAUGUGAUUAACUUCACUAGCGUGAGGAGUCCCGUUGGGAUUCCUCGUAGCGGUGCAGAUAAAUGUGUCUAACUGCAGAAUCGAGGCCGCUUUGGGCUGAGAAGUGAUGAAAUCGCAGCUUGAGGUGGUACAUCAGUAGCUUCUGUGUGGGAGGUUUUGUAUUAAUAGUCAAUGAAUUAAAUGUGUCAAACAAACAAACCUUUAAAUAUUUAGAGAUCGGGAACUCCCUAAUAAAAAAUUUACAAGAAAAAAAAAGGAAGAUUG